rnacentral:tRNA from 1 species
UCCGAUGUAGUCUAGCUGGUUAGGAUAUCUGGCUUUCACCCAGACGACCCGGGCUCGAGUCCCGGCAUCGGAA